rnacentral:rRNA from 1 species
CUAAUCUCGGAGGACAUUAUCGAGUUAUUGGACGGGUUGUCGCUGGCCUUUACCGGCAAUGUGCACGCCUGGCUCAAUUUUCCACUCUUUAACCACUGUGCACUUUUUGUAAGAUUGGCUGUAGGGGAAUUAUAUUUUUACUCUCUUGGUAACACAUGAGACGAAAGUGUAUAUUGCCUGAAGGCCUCUCUUAUGUUUACUACAAACGCUUCAGUUAUUAGAAUGUCAUACUUGUGUUAUAACACAUUUAUAUACAACUUUCAGCAACGGAUCUCUUGGCUCUCGCAUCGAUGAAGAACGCAGCGAAAUGCGAUAAGUAAUGUGAAUUGCAGAAUUCAGUGAAUCAUCGAAUCUUUGAACGCACCUUGCGCUCCUUGGUAUUCCGAGGAGCAUGCCUGUUUGAGUGUCAUGGAAUUCUCAACUCAUUAGAUUUUUUUCUAAUGCAGCUUGGACUUGGAGGUUGUGUCGGUUUUUAAUAAUCGACUCCUCUUAAAUGCAUUAGCGUGAAUUCUUACGGAUCGCCUUCAGUGUGAUAAUUAUCUACGCUGUGGUGUGAAGUAUCAUUAUGUUCAUGCUUAUAAUCGUCUGUUCAUCAGACAAUUUAUUAUGACAUCUGACCUCAAAUCAGGUAGGACUACCCGCUGAACUUAAGCAAUCAAAAACCGGGAAGAAAAGGUGGAAG